CCAUACAGCCGCGCUAAUGAUUUAUUUCAAUGUUUAUUCAUCUCGAUUUUCGGAACCAGUAGCGCCAAAUUAAUUAAAAUUGAAAAGAUUAACAUUUACUAUUCCAACUCCUAAAAUAUUUCCGGUAGUGUAACAUCUUCGUGGAGCCCAUGUAGGAGAUAAUAAUAUAAUAAUAAUGACGUUAUGAUAUCCAAAAAUCAUUUUUUGUUCUUUUACGAAAUAUGAUAAAUAUUGAUAACAAUAAAGUCUAACAUAACAAAAAGCUGGCCUAAGGUAAUGGGGACGAGUACAGCCACUAUUAUAGGUAAUUUAAUGUAGACCUGUGAGCAACGAUAAACCAUUGCCUAGUGAGAAGGG